CCUACGGGAGGCAGCAGUAGGGAAUAUUGCUCAAUGGGGGAAACCCUGAAGCAGCAACGCCGCGUGAAGGAUGAAGGUUUUCGGAUUGUUAACUCCUUUUUUUAGAGAAGAUAAUGACGGUAUCUAACGAAUAAGCACCGGCUAACUCCGUGCCAGCAGCCGCGGUAAUACGGAGGGUGCAAGCGUUACUCGGAGUCACUGGGCGUUAUGCGCGCGUAGGAGGGAUAGCAAGUCAGAUGUGAAAUCGUAUGGCUUAACCAUAGAACUGCAUUUGAAACUGUUAUUCUAGAGUAUGGGAGAGGUAGGUGGAAUUCUUGGUGUAGGGGUAAAAUGCGUAGAGAUCAAGAAGAAUACUGAUUGCGAAGGCGACCUGCUAGAACAUAACUGACGCUGAUGCGCGAAAGCGUGGGGAGCAAACAGGAUUAGAUACCCGAGUAGUC
rnacentral:rRNA from 1 species